UGUUAGUCUGCAGGUGAGGGCACACGCUCUGUCCUCUCCCCUUCUUCUCGGCAUACUUUUCUUCCCCCUUUCGUGUUGUGCGUCCAUGAGAAUGUUGUCGCAUCCCUCUGUUUGGAAACGCUCCAUGAGAAGAAGACACCACCACUUCCGUAUCAAAGGCAUGUCCAUCUGAAAGCAGUGUGACAAUAGAAAGGAAAAUUUGAGUUCAAAAUGUGUCCUUUCUAUUCAGAAUGAAUAGUAUGUGGCAACAACAAAAGCAUUUGGAGAGAGCAGUUUCUUCUUUGUGUAAACGUUUUGUAAAACUAACAUAAACAUAAAUAAACAUAAAUCAAGUUUAA